rnacentral:rRNA from 1 species
UCUGAAUCUGCGUACGGCUCCGCAAACCAGUUGUAAACUAUAGCAAGCAGGCUUGGGGUCGGCUCUCACGGGUUGGCUUCGGGCGAUAUGGAUAACCCUGGUAAUUCUGAGGCUAAUACAUGAACGUAAAACCUGGUUGACUGGGCUUCGGUCUGGGAGGCUGGGGGAUGUGUGAUUGCAGGCUUGGGUAACACCGGGAAAGGGCGCACGUCCAGACCGCGCUAUAAAGGAUGGGACCUCUUCGGGGGACCCGCCCCAGCGGCUCUUGCUGUGUGCUUCUGACCUAUCAACUAGACUGGCAGCGUAAGGGACAUG